UAACAUUCUUAAUAAUUGUUGAGCAAAAGCCCCUGUAUUUUUAUUGCACUUGGUCCAACCAACUAUGUAGCUGGUCCUGGGAGGGAUUUUCUGGGCUUUCUAGAAAACAGAGCCUUAGUCAAAAGUGUACGUGCUCCCAUUUUAUUGAGGAGUAUGACUCCAGAGACACAGGAGUGAGUCGAAAAGGAAUCCCAAAUUAGGCUUCAGAAAAGCCGAUAGAACAGACAACCAAGCCGUCAAAAUGUAGCACCUAAAUUAACAAUCAAACAACUCUCCAAAACAAAGGAACUAUAGCAAAGAGAAUUUACCCAUACUAUGUCAUAACAGAAACUUCCAGACAAAGCACUCUGUUAACCAAUAACCGAAUGAAAAUGCAUGCCACGGAAACAAUGGCAACAGACUACAGUUGAAAAAAAAAUUAGCUAGUGAAUAACAUAUGAAGAAUCCAUCAUCAAGAAGACAUAACCCAAAGAACAGAACUUAUUUCCCACAAGUACUUCACAGUAUAAAAGAAUUUAGAAGAAAAUGAAUUCAAUAAAAGAACUCAAAGACAAGAUGAUAAAACAAAUUAGGGAAACUGAAGUGCUAAAGGGGAAAAAAUGAGAAACAAAAGAUUCUAUUAUUAUAGACCUAAUACAUAAAUUAGAAACAGAAGAAAACAAGUUAAAAAUUGAAAUUACAGCAUGGAAAAUGUCUUAAAACAUGUAUAAAUGCAGAGAGAAAAAGACAAAAAGCUCAAAGCUAAUGAAAAGAAAUUGGUGAAUAUAAAUAGCAGAUAAAUGACAUCUAUCAAUCAUUGAAAAAUAGGAAAGAAAAGGUAUAUGGAGAAAGAAUACAAAAGUAUUUCUUUAAAUUUUGAAUAAAACUAAAUAAAAAUUUUAAAAUAUAUCUUCUAAUAUGAAAGCUGUUGCAGAAUAAGCAAGCCAGGUAUAUUCUCAUUAAGUUACUAAAUUUUAAAGAUGAAGUUAGAAUUGUUGAAGCAUCCAGGCAGAAAAAGCAAAUCAACAUUAAAAGAGAAAGAAAAAAACAUUUGGCUUCAGACUUGGCUUUUUGAACAGUAACAUUCAAAAUCUAAAUGCAUUGGGUGCAAAUUUCAGUCCGUAUAUUAAAGCAAUUAUUUUCUUUUAUAACAACUUAGCUUCUGUUGCAAACUUUGACUUUGUGGUGGAAAGUCAAUAUUACUGCUUUCCAGGAUGCAUAUGAGUUUCCAGUGACUAUGGAAUACCUGUGAAACAGAGGAAAACCUCCUCCUGGUCUUGUUCAUCCUGUUUCCAUGUUGGCUGCCAAAGAGGAAGGCCUAUUCUCUCCUGGUCUCUUUCAUGGUUCGAGGAGGAAACUAAAUCCUGUUGCAGUGGUCCCUUCUAUCUGGUUCAUUAGAGUCGCUUAAUUUAGUGCCUUCUGCAAAUGUACCACCACUUCCUUCCUCACAUUGGAAUACGGAGGACCUCUGUAAGGCCAACAUAUGAUGCAGUGCUAAGUGUUCCAUGUCUCUGGGUAAUUCUGGUGUGCAGAGGGCUUCUUUUCCCCAACCCUGCAGUGGGAGAAAAGGAUGCAAACAGGAACCUUACUCUUAUAUCAUCAACUUUCCCUUUGGACCUGAGAUUUUUACAACAUAAAAGUCAAUACCUUUGAAACCCAAAAGCUUUUCUUUGCUGUUCUGUAGAAUCAUAAACUCUUCUGAGGCAAGGAUUGACAACUGGUUGAAAAGACAGAAGGACAGGAGGGAGAACCACAAGAAAAGUGGAAAUAUUCAUAUUUUUUAAAAGUCAUGUCCCUUUACAUAAGGAAAUGUUUUUGUUUUUUGGUUUUGGUUUUGAUUUUUUUUUUUUUUUUUUUUUGGUAAAAGACAAAGGGUUUAUAAGAUCCAAAGAGAAACCAGAGUAUGAGGAAAUGUUAUUGGCUAUUCAUUAAGCAAUUAGUUUGUCCCACAAUAA
rnacentral:lncRNA from 1 species